UACAGAGGGGGGCAAGCGUUGUUCGGAAUUACUGGGCGUAAAGGGCGCGUAGGCGGCCUGUUAAGUCGAACGUGAAAUCCCCGGGCUCAACCCGGGAACUGCGUCCGAUACUGGCAGGCUUGAAUUCGGGAGAGGGAUGUGGAAUUCCAGGUGUAGCGGUGAAAUGCGUAGAUAUCUGGAGGAACACCGGUGGCGAAGGCGGCAUCCUGGACCGAUAUGCGCUGAGUGCGACGAAGCCAGGGGAGCAAAAC
rnacentral:rRNA from 1 species